rnacentral:tRNA from 1 species
GGUUGUUUGGCCGAGCGGUCUAAGGCGCCUGAUUCAAGAAAAUUAAACUUCUUGACUGUGGAACACCACAGGAAUACUCAGGUAUCGUAAGAUGCAAGAGUUCGAAUCUCUUAGCAACCA